AUUGAACGCUGGCGGCAGGCUUAACACAUGCAAGUCGAGCGGGGGAAGGUAGCUUGCUACUGGACCUAGCGGCGGACGGGUGAGUAAUGCUUAGGAAUCUGCCUAUUAGUGGGGGACAACAUCUCGAAAGGGAUGCUAAUACCGCACACGUCCUACGGGAGAAAGCAGGGGAUCUUCGGACCUUGCGCUAAUAGAUGAGCCUAAGUCGGACUAGCUAGUUGGUGGGGUAAAGGCCUACCAAGGCGACGAUCUGUAGCGGGUCUGAGAGGAUGAUCCGCCACACUGGGACUGAGACACGGCCCAGACCCCUACGGGAGGCAGCAGUGGGGAAUAUUGGACAAUGGGGGGAACCCUGAUCCAGCCAUGCCGCGUGUGUGAAGAAGGCCUUAUGGUUGUAAAGCACUUUAAGCGAGGAGGAGGCUACUUAGUUAAUACCUAGAGAUAGUGGACGUUACUCGCAGAAUAAGCACCGGCUAACUCUGUG
rnacentral:rRNA from 1 species